GGGUCUAUAGCUCAAUGGUUAGAGCGUGGGACUCAUAAUCCCUUGGUUGCAGGUUCGAGUCCUGCUGGACCCACCA
rnacentral:tRNA from 1 species